UACGGAGGGAGCUAGCGUUAUUCGGAAUUACUGGGCGUAAAGCGCACGUAGGCGGCUUUGUAAGUCAGAGGUGAAAGCCUGGAGCUCAACUCCAGAACUGCCUUUGAGACUGCAUCGCUUGAAUCCAGGAGAGGUGAGUGGAAUUCCGAGUGUAGAGGUGAAAUUCGUAGAUAUUCGGAAGAACACCAGUGGCGAAGGCGGCCCCCUGGUUGGAUACUGACGCUGAUACGCGAAAGCGUGGGGAGCAAACAGA
rnacentral:rRNA from 1 species